rnacentral:rRNA from 1 species
AAUUGUCUUUUAAUUGGGGGCUGGAAUGAAUGAUUGGACAAAAGACAAGCUGUCUUUUUUGUAGGAAUGUGAAUUUCACUUUUAAGUGAAAAGGCUUAAAUAUAUUAAGGGGACGAUAAGACCCUUUAAAACUUAACAAAAUUAUUAUAAUUUAUAAAAUAAGGUGUGAAAGAUAUUAUUUUAUAUUUUGUUUUAUUGGGGCGAUAAUGAUAUAGUAAGUAACUGUCAAAGAUAUGAGAUAAUUAUAAUUAGAAGUUAAGAUCCUUGAAUUUAAAGAUUAAAAGAAAAAGUUACUUAAGGGAUAACAGCGUGAUUUUUUUAGAGAGUUCUAAUCGAAGAAAGUAGUUGCGACCUCGAUGUUGAAUUAAGAUUAAAUUAAAAUGCAGCUUUUUUAAUAAUAAGUCUGUUCGACUUUUAGAAUCUUA